GUUUCGCUGGAGCUCCAGACAGACGGUCAGGAGAAGGGCUCUGAGAACUUCACGGAGUGAUUUCUGUUAAGAUUCUCAGCUCGGGACAGGCAGAAGGGGCUAGGAGGUGAGAAGGACAUUUGUACUCCUGAGGAGAACUCCAGAAGGGCUUCCUUUUAAAUGCACUGGCAGACAGAAUGGAAGAAGAAGAUGAUGAUGAUGACUACUCAGGGCAAACCUGCUUGUUUCUCCACUCCGACUCUGCUCUGCGUGGCAAGAUUUAUGACUCUUGGCACAAGUGAAGAAGGCUACAAAAGCUCAAAGUUUUCUUAGGGUGUGUUUGAGCAGGGCAGGCAAAGGCAAGGAGGAGGCCUGUAGGAGGAAGACGGGAGCCAGGAAUGUAGGUGUCUGCAAAUUUGGGGCAGGGGGUGGGGAGAGAGCCAUUGGCGGUGGAGGCGAAAGACAAAAAAGGAGGACAGGCCAUUUCUUCAAGCCGAGGGGUUGCAGGCUGCCUAACUGCUGACUCGGGACUUGGGGGCUGACUCAGGAGGCUGCUGCUGGUGUCUCUUUUCUACGUGGACAGACAGCUUGGAAACUGGUUCUCUUAACUUCGGGUAGACACAGCCAGCCAGGACCCUGUGCCGAUUUCCUGAUUGGGACACUCGGUUCUUGCCAUCUGGAUGCACCAGGAAAGGCGAUGGGCCUGGGGGAACAAAGGGACAUCUAGAAGCUCAGCCCUGGCAAACCCCACCCCUACCCAGUGUGGAGACAAAGAGUUGAUAUCCCAAGCCAUACUUCCCUGGGUACCCCAGAACUCUCCUCAACUCUUGCACCCUCCUUAUAGCCUGUAUCCCACAGGAAAUUGCCCUUCACACAGCUGUGCAUCCGAGAAGCCACUGCCUUCAAGCUGUAUGUCUCUGCAGUUGGAAGAAGAGAAGGAAAACAGAGCAAAAACCAAGUAGGGAGCUUUCCCUUGCUGGCCUCUGUCCUCAUCACCCUGGAAGGACAGUCAGCAUGGUGCUAGGACCAACUGCACAAGCCUCUCCCAGAUACAGAAGGUCUAAGUGUCCAGGGGUCAGAGGUGAAUCUGUGAGGAAGCUGCACCUGUUUUCACAAAUUCUAAACUGUAAACCCACAAUGAUUCAGGUCCAGGGCUAGGGUGAGAGGAGGAACCUCAGAACUCCAAAACACUGAAUUCUGGACAAUUCCAGCCUUGGCUUAGCAUCUGACACGAAAGGAGUCUUGUUUGGUGAAGCUAACCCCAUCUGCCCAUCUGCCUUAGACCCUGUGCCAAUCCUAGCUCAAUCCAACUACCUAGCCUUCUAUUGCCACUGCUCUUGACCUGGCCUUCCGUUCUGUGGAGAACAGGGACUCCUUGAAAAGACAAUCCAGAGAACUUAUUUUCCAGAGGUACAAGCAAAGACAAACUCAGAAUUUUGCAGACACACCCUGCAGUAACUUCUACACUCAGAUGCCCACAGAACUCCAGGACAUACACGAAGUUGCUCCUAAGUGGUAUCCCAUAAAGGAUGGAGAUACAGAGGGGUACCCAAGAGCAGACUGGACUUGGGGCGUCCAGUCCAACUCUGCCAUGGUAGCAGAUAGGGAAAGUGAGGCCCAGAGUGGAAAAUAAAUUGAUCUUGAGUUAUGUUUGCCACACAGUCUUAAGCACUGGGAGACUCAGACUUUAGUCAUCGAAGCUUGGCUGUGUGACUUGAAGCAGAGUACGCCUUGGGCCUCAGUGUGCUCCUCUUUAAAUGCAAGGUAUUUACGGAGGAGGAGGAGGAUUAAGCUAAAUGAUCUCCAAGGUUCUCUUUCAGGCUGAACAUUAGUAAUUCUCUGUGUUGUGUAAAUAUGUAAAUAUGAGUAACAAUAAGCAAUAAUAAACUGAGUU